rnacentral:rRNA from 1 species
UACGUAGGCGGAAAAUUAAGUCAGUGGUGAAAUCCUGCAGCUUAACUGUAGAACUGUCAUUGAUACUGGUUUUCUUGAAUGUAGUUGAGGUAGGCGGAAUGUGUAAUGUAGCGGUGAAAUGCUUAGAUAUUACACAGAACACCGAUUGCGAAGGCAGCUUACUAAACUACGAUUGACGCUGAGGUACGAAAGCGUGGGGAGCGAACA